GGUGGUGCAUGGUUGUCGUCAGCUCGUGUCGUGAGAUGUUGGGUUAAGUCCCGCAACGAGCGCAACCCUUAAGCUUAGUUGCCAUCAUUUAGUUGGGCACUCUAAGGAGACUGCCGGUGACAAACCGGAGGAAGGUGGGGAUGACGUCAAAUCAUCAUGCCCCUUAUGACCUGGGCUACACACGUGCUACAAUGGACGAUACAAAGAGUCGCAAACUCGCGAGAGUAAGCUAAUCUCAUAAAAUCGUUCUCAGUUCGGAUUGUAGGCUGCGACUCGCCUGCAUGAAGCCGGAAUCGCUAGUAAUCGCGGAUCAGCAUGCCGCGGUGAAUACGUUCCCGGGUCUUGUACACAC
rnacentral:rRNA from 1 species